GCCAGCCCGCUCAGAAACUUAAAGGAAGUUGACGGGGGCCCGCACAAGCGGAGGAGCAUGUGGUUUAAUUCGAUGAUACGCGAGGAACCUUACCUGGGCUCGAACGUAAGAUGACUGUAGGUGAAAGCUUACAUCUCUUCGGAGCAUUUUACGAGGUGCUGCAUGGUUGUCGUCAGCUCGUGCCGUGAGGUGUCGGGUUAAGUCCCAUAACGAGCGCAACCCUUACCUUUAGUUGCCAUCAGGUUAAGCUGGGGACUCUAAAGGAACUGCCUACGCAAGUAGUGAGGAAGGCGGGGAUGACGUCAAAUCAGCACGGCCCUUACGUCCAGGGCUACACACGUGCUACAAUGGCCGGUACAAAGGGCAGCUACCUGGUGACAGGAUGCUAAUCUCAAAAGCCGGUCUCAGUUCGGAUCGGAGUCUGCAACCCGACUCCGUGAAGCUGGAAUCGCUAGUAAUCGUGGAUCAGCCAAGCCGCGGUGAAUACGUUCCCGGGCCUU
rnacentral:rRNA from 1 species